CCCAGUGAUCCCUGCACGGGUCUGACCAUGGCUGCAGAACUCUCAGUGUCUGUCACAUUUAAAAUCAAAAUCAAAAUAUAUGUCACUUAUUGGUUGAAAAUUCUUUUCUCAAAUUCCUCUUCAAAUAUUACUAGAGUAACAAGGGUUAACUGCAGCUAGUGAAAUAUUAUUAGGUGUAUUAAAAAAAAACAGAGGGGGCGCCUGGGUGACUCAGUCGGUUAAGUGUCCGACUUCAGCUCAGGUCACGAUCUCGCUGUCCGUGAGUUCGAGCCCUGCAUUGGGCUCUGGGCUGAUGGCUCGGAGCCUGGAGCCUGCUUCCGAUUCUGUGUCUCCCUCUCUCUCUGCCCCUCCCCUGUUCAUGCUCUGGCUCUCUCUGUCUCAAAAAUAAAUAAACGUUAAAAAAAAAAACAACAACAGAGUGUUCUUCCAGCAUUCCCUAAAGCAGGUAACCCAUGUUAACAGCCUGGGGUGCAUCCUUCCACACUAGUAUUCGUGCUGAUACAAAUAUACCAAAAAUAAACACACAUGCAUGUAAGGAUUUCAUUGGGAGUAUUUAUUUUUUUAUAAAGUGGAUCCUGCAAAACCCAUUACUCUCCAACUUUGUUUCUCCACUUAAGGAUAAGUCAUUGACACCUCUUCAGGUUAAUACAUACAGAUCUCAAGUAUUUAAAAAAUGGUGCUUACUAUUCCAUGAUAACAGAUGUGCUACCAUUUAUUAGCUUUUCUCAGUGUCCCAUUUUAAGAGGAAUACUGGCAACCGGGGGAGGGGAUAACUUUCCAGGUUGGGAUGGCAAAAGAUGGAGCUAGAAGCCAUGACAUACUAAGAAUAAUCAAAGCACCUGAAACUAUUUAACUGGGAGAAUGGAAGGUGGGGGGGGGCGCAAACAGGAGGAUUCUUUGGGUUCAUUGAAGAAUAUUGGGAUUUUGCUCAGCGUAGGGUGGGACAAAUCAAAGAUUCUAUGUUUCAUGUUUCGUUCCUUGUCAGGACAGGGCUGGGGAAGGGGAGAGGAAGGACUCUGCUUCCUUCCAGUGGCUGGAGGUAUGUGCAAAACAACAGCUUUUGGGGUGAAUGAGACUGCCCUACCCCCACCCCCAUCACCAGAAUGCUGGCCGGCACCAAGCAACCUCCACAAGAGGCAAUGA
rnacentral:lncRNA from 1 species